UUGCUUUUGGACAGAACGAGCUUUAUACAUUAUAAAGAGAUAAAAUGAUGAUAUCCUAUUUUUACAUUCAAAAAAGAAAAAAUAAUAUGGCAGAAAUUCUCAAGCUUGUUUAUGUAAUGAUUCUAUUUAUUUCCUUAGUUGAUGCACAGAAAAAAUAUAUGCCGAAAUUUUUCCCACGUUUGCACGAAUGUGAACAUGACGGUGAUUGUCCAGAAAUUGUUUCAUAUCCUUUGGUUAUGAGGUGUAUUUAUUACAAGUGUGUAGUUGUUAACAAUGUUAAUGAAGAAUAAUUUUUCAGAGAUCCAAGAUACACAAAUGCCAUGAAGGG